AUAAGCGAAAGCUUGACAGGGUUAUUCUGAGUGAUUUCCGCUAAGGAAAUCUUUUGGCACCUCUAAAAAUGGUGCAGAAUAAGGGGUGGGCAAGCCUGGUGUCAGCCGCCGCGGUAAUACCAGCACCCCGAGUGGUCGGGACGAUUAUUGGGCCUAAAGCAUCCGUAGCCGGUUCUACAAGUCUUCCGUUAAAUCCACCUGCUUAACAGAUGGGCUGCGGAGGAUACUAUGGAGCUAGGAGGCGGGAGAGGCAAGCGGUACUUAGUGGGUAGGGGUAAAAUCCGUUGAUCCAUUGAAGACCACCAGUGGCGAAGGCGGCUUGCCAGAACGCACUCGACGGUGAGGGAUGAAAGCUGGGGGAGCAAACCGGAUUAGAUACCCCCGUAGUCC
rnacentral:rRNA from 1 species